rnacentral:rRNA from 1 species
UACGAAGGGGGCUAGCGUUGCUCGGAAUCACUGGGCGUAAAGCGCACGUAGGCGGAUUGUUAAGUCAGGGGUGAAAUCCUGGAGCUCAACUCCAGAACUGCCUUUGAUACUGGCGAUCUUGAGUCCGGAAGAGGAGAGUGGAAUUCCUGGUGUAGCGGUGAAAUGCGCAGAUAUCAGGAAGAACACCCGUGGCGAAGGCGGCUCUCUGGGACGGUACUGACGCUGAGACGCGAAAGCGUGGGGAGCGAACAGG